UACGUAGGGUGCAAGCGUUGUCCGGAAUUAUUGGGCGUAAAGAGCUCGUAGGCGGUCUGUCGCGUCGGCUGUGAAAAUCCAGGGCUUAACCCUGGACCUGCAGUGGGUACGGGCAGACUAGAGUGCGGUAGGGGGAGAUCGGAAUUCCUGGUGUAGCGGUGAAAUGCGCAGAUAUCAGGAGGAACACCGGUGGCGAAGGCGGAUCUCUGGGCCGUAACUGACGCUGAGGAGCGAAAGCAUGGGGAGCGAACAGG
rnacentral:rRNA from 1 species